rnacentral:rRNA from 1 species
UGGGGGCAACCCCUAGUAGAGCGGCGCACGGGUGCGUAACACGUGGAUAAUCUGCCUGGAAGACUGGAACAACCUGCCGAAAGGCUGGCUAAUACCAGAUAAGCUCACGGGCUCUUCGGAGCCUGAGAGAAAAGGUGGCCUCUGUAUACAAGCUAUCACUUCCAGAUGAGUCCGCGGCCCAUCAGCUAGUUGGCGGGGUAAUGGCCCACCAAGGCUACGACGGGUAGCUGGUCUGAGAGGACGAUUAGCCACACUGGAACUGAGACACGGUCCAGACUCCUACGGGAGGCAGCAGUGGGGAAUUUUGCACAAUGGGCGAAAGCCUGAUGCAGCAACGCCGCGUGUGUGAUGAAGGUCUUCGGA